GGGUCAACAGGUCGGUCGUGCCUACGGUAUGCACUGGCCUUGCUGAUUCCUCCCUCUUGAUGAGCCGUAAUGCCAUUAAUUUGGUGUUGCGGGGAAUCAGGACUGUUACUUUGAAAAAAUUAGAGUGUUUAAAGCAGGCUCGCGCUUGAAUACAUUAGCAUGGAAUAAUGAAAUAGGACG
rnacentral:rRNA from 1 species